rnacentral:rRNA from 1 species
UUAGCUGAGAGGUGGUGCAUGGCCGUCGUCAGUUCGUACUGUGAAGCAUCCUGUUAAGUCAGGCAACGAGCGAGACCCACGUCCACAGUUGCCAGCAUACCCCUCCGGGGUGAUGGGUACACUGUGGAGACCGCCGCUGCUAAAGCGGAGGAAGGAGUGGGCAACGGUAGGUCCAGUAUGCCCCGAAUCUCCCGGGCUACACGCGGGCUACAAUGGUUGGUACAAUGGGCAUCUACCCCGAAAGGGGGAAGGAAAUCUCUUAAAGCCAAUCGUAGUUCGGAUUGAGGGCUGCAACUCGCCCUCAUGAAGCUGGAAUCCGUAGUAAUCGCGUUUCAACAGAACGCGGUGAAUACGUCCCUGCUCCUU